rnacentral:rRNA from 1 species
GAUGAACGCUGGCGGCGUGCUUAACACAUGCAAGUCGAACGGAAAGGCUCCUGCUUGCAGGGGUACUCGAGUGGCGAACGGGUGAGUAACACGUGGGUGAUCUGCCCUGCACUUCGGGAUAAGCCUGGGAAACUGGGUCUAAUACCGGAUAGGACCACAUUUUGGAUGGUGUGGUGGAAAGUUUUUCGGUGUGGGAUGAGCUCGCGGCCUAUCAGCUUGUUGGUGGGGUAAUGGCCUACCAAGGCGUCGACGGGUAGCCGGCCUGAGAGGGUGUACGGCCACAUUGGGACUGAGGUAAGGGCCAGGAUCCUACGGGAGGCAGCAGUGGGGAAUAUUGCAAAAUGGGCGGAAGCCUGAUGGAGCGACGGCGGGUGGGGGAUGACGGCCUUCGGGUUGGAAACUCCCUUCGCUAGGGAAGAAGCGGAAGUGACGGGACCUGGAGAAGAAGCCCCGGCUAACUACGUG